rnacentral:rRNA from 1 species
CCCUUAGACGUUCUGGGCCGCACGCGCGCUACACUGACGAAGGCAACUAGCUUUCCUUUACCGAAAGGUACGGGUAAUCUUUUGAAACUUCGUCGUGCUGGGGAUAGAUCCUUGCAAUUUUUGAUCUUAAACGAGGAAUGCCUAGUAAGCGCAAGUCAUCAACUUGCGUUGAUUACGUCCCUGCCCUUUGUACACACCGCCCGUCGCUACUACCGAUUGAAUGGUUUAGUGAGGCCUUCGGAUCCGCGACUCGUUUGUGGAGAAGUUGGACAAACUCAGUCAUUUAGAGGAAGUAAAAGUCGUAACA